rnacentral:rRNA from 1 species
CACGGGGGGAGCAAGCGUUGUUCGGAAUCACUGGGCGUAAAGGGCGUCUAGGCGGUCAGGUAAGUGGGAUGUGAAAUGCCCCGGCUCACCCGGGGACCGGCAUCCCAUACUGCUUGGCUUGAGUACGGGAGAGGAUGUGGGAAUUCCUGGUGUAGCGGUGAAAUGCGUAGAUAUCAGGAGGAACACCUGAGGUGAAGACGGGUUGCUGGGCUGACACUGACGCUGAGGCGCGAAAGCCAGGGGAGCAAACGGG